rnacentral:rRNA from 1 species
ACUCAAAUGAAUAGACGGGGGCCCGCACAAGCAGCGGAGCGUGUGGUUUAAUUCGAUGAUACGCGAAGAACCUCACCCAGGUUUGACAUGCAUGUGGUACGGAUGUGAAAGCUGAAGGACCCUUCGGGGAGCAUGCACAGGUGUUGCACGGCCGUCGUCAGCUCGUGCCGUGAGGUGUUGGGUUAAGUCCCGCAACGAGCGCAACCCCUGUCGCCAGUUGUAUUUUUCUGGCGAGACUGCCGAGAAAACCUCGGAGGAAGGAGGGGACGAUGUCAGGUCAGCGUGGCCCUUACGCCUGGGGCUACACACACGCUACAAUGGGUAGUACAACGGGCUGCGAACCCGCGAGGGGGAGCCAAUCCCAUCAAAGCUAUCCUCAGUUCGGAUUGCAGGCUGAAACCCGCCUGCAUGAAGCCGGAGUUGCUAGUAAACGCAGGUCAGCACUACUGCGUUGAAUACGUUCCCGGGCCUUGUACACACCGCCCGU